GGCGAUUAGCUCAGUUGGUAGAGCAUCUCGUUUACACCGAGAGGGUCGGGAGUUCGAGAUUAGCUCAGUUGGUA
rnacentral:tRNA from 1 species